rfam:Clostridium ventriculi strain 2789STDY5834858 genome assembly, contig: SCcontig000010
UCUGGUGAUAAUGCGUUUUAAGGUAACACCCGUUUCCAUUCCGAACACGAAGGUUAAGCUUUUUACGGUUGAUGGUACUGCAUAGGAGACUGUGUGGGAGAGUAAAUGGUUGCCAGGU